CAGCGGCGGACGGGUGAGUAACACGUGGGUAACCUGCCUGGCAGACUGGGAUAACUCCGGGAAACCGGGGCUAAUACCGGAUAACUCAUUUCCUCGCAUGAGGAAAUGUUGAAAGGUGGCUUUUAGCUAUCACUUACAGAUGGACCCGCGGCGCAUUAGCUAGUUGGUGAGGUAACGGCUCACCAAGGCGACGAUGCGUAGCCGACCUGAGNGGGCGNNCANCCAUACUGGGACUGAGCCACGNCAAAAAACUUAUACGGGAGGCAGCAGUAGGGAAUCUUCCGCAAUGGACGAAAGUCUGACGGAGCAACGCCGCGUGAGUGAUGAAGGUUUUCGGAUCGUAAAACUCUGUUGUUAGGGAAGAACAAGUACCGUUCGAAUAGGGCGGUACCUUGACGGUACCUAACCAGAAAGCCACGGCUAACUACGUGCCAGCAGCCGCGGUAAUACGUAGGUGGCAAGCGUUGUCCGGAAUUAUUGGGCGUAAAGCGCGCGCANGGUGGUUCCUUNNGUCUGAUGUGAAAGCCCACGGCUCAACCGUGGAGGGUCAUUGGAAAACUGGGGGGACUUGAGUGCAGAAGAGGAAAGUGNAAUUCCCAAGUGUAGCGGGUGAAAUGCGUAGAUAUUUGGAGGAACACCAGUGGCGAAGGCGACUUUCUGG
rnacentral:rRNA from 1 species